CUCGCCUGCAUGAAGUCGGAAUUGCUAGUAAUCGCAGAUCAGCAUGCUGCGGUGAAUACGUUCCCGGGCCUUGUACACACCGCCCGUCACACCAUGGGAGUCGGUAACACCCGAAGUCGGUAGCCUAACCGUAAGGAGGGCGCCGCCGAAGGUGGGAUUGAUGAUUGGGGUGAAGUCGUAACAAGGUAAC
rnacentral:rRNA from 1 species